ACACCUUCUGACUGAACUGCUCAGCUCUCCAUCCAGCCUGGCCUUAAACACUUGCAGAGAUGGGGCAUCUGCAACUUCUCUGUGCAACCUGU